rnacentral:lncRNA from 1 species
AGGAAGAGGACGGUAGGCGCCGUGUCUCGAAGAUGUUAAAGGGUGGAAGACCUGCUUGUUGCGAACGAACAGGAGAACGACGUUCCUCCGAGUGCAAAUUUAUGAAGGAGGAAUAUCCGAUUAUCUGAACUCGAGAGAAAAUAUAAGGGAAGAAAAAUUGUAUAAACGUUAUUUUACUCGUGGACACCAAUCUUGCUAGUAUUUAGUAACCAUGAUAACGGAUGGGAUAUACACUCCGCAACGAUCAAGGUCAUGCUGCUUUUUACUUCUCCAAGAGGAGGAGGGAGAAGAUGCACGAGGAAGAGGAAUAAAAGGACGAAGAAGAGAAAGAAGAUACGGGGAUAAAAAUAGCCUCACUCGGUGAAAAAUAAAAAGUAACCGACUGAGAUGACCACCGGGCGAUGGAUGUAUGUAGAAUAAAAAGAAGAAGAGUAAGAGA